GCCGACGCAUUUCCUCCCGUUCUGGGACGCCGCAGCCGGUCGGAUUGAAGUGGGCUCGCACAGGCCGGGAGAAGACGAUCGUGAGCAUGGUGCGCGGUGGGAGGAUACGGCUGGCGGCGAGUAAGUCGGUAACCCACCCGACCCGUCUUGAAACACGGACCAAGGAGUCUGACGUGUGCGCGAGUCAUUGGGUCUUGACCAGGCCCAAAGGCGAAAUGAAAGUAAGGUCGUGAUGCCGCGGCCGCAACGACGGCCCGCCCGGUGCUUGAGCGUACAUGUUGGUACCCGAAAGAUGGUGAACUAUGCCCGGUCAGGGCGAAGUCAGAGGAAACUCUGAUGGAGGCUCGUAGCGCUUCUGACGUGCAAAUCGAUUGCGAGAACCGGGUAUAGCGGCGAAAGACCAAUCGAACCAUCUAGUAGCUGGUUCCCUCCGAAGUUUCCCUCAGGAUAGCUGGCGCUCAUGGAGUCAGGCAUGUUAAAGCGAA
rnacentral:rRNA from 1 species